CCCGUCGUGCAUCGGCAGAAACAUGCAUUUCACAUUGAGAAGAGGAAACACGGAAAACCUGUCAAUUUUUUAAUGUGUCAUUUGACAAAAAUGCCAAAACCUAUAACAACAACAUAGACGGAAUGUACAGAAGUCCUGUUUGUUAGAGAAAAGUUGUGAAAAGAAGGUAAACUUUGAAAAGUACGAUUGCUGUCACAGUGUCGGAAUGAAUGACCCGACUUGACCCAGAUGAGACAGCCUAAACCAGGAAUGACAAGAGAACCGGCGUUACAGUUUAAUCCGGACAACAAGUUUAAUGAACAUCGUGUGUGAUUUGAGUCAGUGUCACUGAUGGGAAACAUGUGCAUGUGGGAUUUCAGGAGGAUUUGUCAAACGUGGAGUGGACACAGUCAGAUGACGGGAGUUUGUUGAUAUUUUGAUGUGAUUCAUAAUGGUCGAAUACCUGUUGAUAGACAAACACGGUAUCUGGAGACUUGGUGCUAAGCUGUCCGCAUUCACGGAGUUCAUUUAGUUCAAUAUCGGACACAGGAUCAGCUCGCUGGGUUAUCGAUGUCAUCACCGUUCACAAAGGCAAACCUGUCUAUACAAAGUCCGGUUUUUUGAUUCGGGUGUUCGAAAAAUUCAUCAAACAGCAAGCCCUCUAGGCCUAACACAGACGCAAACCAGGACUUGGUGGUGAUGAUCUUGGCGCCCUAGAAACAGUUUCUGGCAACAUCACAAUCUGAAUCUUGGAACUUCAAUCUGGCCAUAUGCAGUUUUGACAACAAAGACAUUAAAUGUGUUCAGAGGUUGAAUUAUACGAAUAACUUUUCAUGUCAGUCAGAUUUACUUUGACAGGUCUCAAAUGGCCAGCCAUGUUUCUUUACAAACGGGGACGUAGUUUUGGUUUUUACUGUAAAAUGAAAAUCAUGUGAAAUAAAUGAAAAAAAUGAUAA